CUCCUAAGAAAUCCCCGCCACCUUCAUACCAUUACAGUUCUCCUCCUCCUCCUCCUAAGAAAUCUCCACCACCACCAUACCAUUAUAGUUCUCCUCCCCCUCCAGUGAAAUCUCCACCGCCUCCAUACCAUUACUCGUCACCACCUCCUCCUAAGAAGUCUCAUCCGCCACCAUAUCAUUACUCGUCUCCUCCCCCUCCAGUGAAAUCUCCACUGCCUCCAUAUCACUACUCAUCGCCUCCUCCUCCUCCUAAAAAGUCUCCACCGCCUCCAUACCAUUACUCUUCAACUCCUCCUCCCAAGAAAUCUCCUCCACCAUCAUACCACUACUCGUCGCCUCCUCCUCCAGUGAAAUCUCCCCCACUUCUAUACCAUUACUCUUCCCCUCCGCCUCCCAAGAAGUCCCCCCCACCACCAUACCACUACUCCUCACCUCCUCCUCCGGUAAAGUCUCCACCGCCUCCAUACCACUACUCGUCACCUCCAUCACCCAAGAAGUCCCCCCCACCACCAUACCACUACUCAUCGCCUC
rnacentral:lncRNA from 1 species